rnacentral:rRNA from 1 species
UGGGGAAUUUUGGACAAUGGGGGAACCCUGAUCCAGCCAUCCCGCGUGUGCGAUGAAGGCCUUCGGGUUGUAAAGCACUUUUGGCAGGAAAGAAACGUCGCGGGUUAAUACCCCGCGAAACUGACGGUACCUGCAGAAUAAGCACCGGCUAACUACGUGCCAGCAGCCGCGGUAAUACGUAGGGUGCAAGCGUUAAUCGGAAUUACUGGGGCGUAAAGCGUGCGCAGGCGGUUCGGAAAGAAAGAUGUGAAUCCCAGAGCUUAACUUUGGAACUGCAUUUUUAACUACCGGGCUAGGAGUGUGUCAGAGGGAGGUGGAAUUCCGCGUGUAGCAGUGAAAUGCGUAGAUAUGCGGAGGAACACCGAUGGCGAAGGCAGCCUCCUGGGAUACACUGACGCUCAUGCACGAAAGCGUGGGGAGCAACAGGAUUAGAUACCCGUGGUAGUCCACGCCC